rnacentral:rRNA from 1 species
GGCGAGUGAAGCGGCAACAGCUCAAAUUUGAAAUCUGGCCCCUCCGGGUCCGAGUUGUAAUUUGUAGAGGAUGCUUUUGGUGAGGUGCCGCCCGAGUUCCCUGGAACGGGACGCCACAGAGGGUGAGAGCCCCGUCUGGCUGGCCACCGAGCCUCUGUAAAGCUCCUUCGACGAGUCGAGUAGUUUGGGAAUGCUGCUCAAAAUGGGAGGUAUAUGUCUUCUAAAGCUAAAUAUUGGCCAGAGACCGAUAGCGCACAAGUAGAGUGAUCGAAAGAUGAAAAGCACCUUGAAAAGAGGGUUAAACAGUACGUGAAAUUGUUGAAAGGGAAGCGCUUGUGACCAGACUUGGGCGCGGCGGAUCAUCCGGGGUUCUCUCCGGUGCACUUCGCCGCGUUCAGGCCAGCAUCAGUUCGUCGCGGGGGAAAAAGGCUUCGGGAACGUGGCUCCUCCGGGAGUGUUAUAGCCCGUUGCAUAAUACCCUGCGGUGGACUGAGGACCGCGCAUCUGCAAGGAU